GACGUAGGUGGCGAACGUUAUCCGGAAUUAUUGGGCGUAAAGGAUGCGUAGGUGGUGUAGUAAGUUAUCGGUGGUAAAUCGAGGCUCAACCUCGUGGAAGCCGGUAAUACUGCUAUGCUAGAGGAUAGGAGAGGUUAACGGAACUCCCUGUGGAGCGGUGAAAUGCGUAGAUAUAGGGAAGAACACCAAUAAGGCGAAGGCAGUUAACUAUUCUACUCCUGACAUUGAGGCAUGAAAGCGUGGGGAGCAAAACGG
rnacentral:rRNA from 1 species